rnacentral:rRNA from 1 species
ACGAACGCUGGUGGCAUGCCUAAUACAUGCAAGUCGAACGAGAAAGCUCUUCGGAGUGAGUAGAGUGGCGCACGGGUGAGUAACGCGUAGGUGACGUGCCUUUUAGUGGGGGACAACAUCGGGAAACCGGUGCUAAUACCGCAUAUUUUGAGUGAAAUUGAAAAACUCAGCAAAGAGGGCCUUUGGCUCUCGCUAAGAGAUCGGCCUGCGUUGCAUUAGCUUGAUGGUGGGUAACGGCUUACCAUGGCGACGAUGCAUAGCUGGUCUGAAAGGAUGAUCAGCCACACUGGAACUGAGACACGGUCCAGACUCCUACGGGAGCAGCAGUAGGGAAUAUUGCGCAAUGGGGAACCCUGACGCAGCAAUGCCACGUGAGUG